GCAAAAACUAAAUUUUGCAUAUGGGCUUCAAUAAUAUUAAUGUGUGCCGUCAUCACUAAUACCGACUGCAGUAUUAAUUGAUAUUGAUUAUAGUCAGUUUCACGCGAUAAUUAUCAGGGUCGCGUGGGCGGGUGAUUAGAAAUAAUCGAAUGUAAUUUCUAUACUACAGCAACAUUUGUCACUUCGUAGAGUAUAAUAAAUAAUAUCCGUGUAUAUAUAUACGUAUUGGUACAUCAGAAUUAUACAACAAUUUCCGUCGGUAUAACAACUAAGAAAAUUUGAAAACAUCCCCCGCCUAUUAUAAUAGAAUACAACAUUACUAAGUAGGUAUCAUUUUUCGAUAUAACAAUGGU